AUGCUGCAGAUAGACGACGGUGGACUCAUCUCUGUAGCCGCCGCACGGGAAACGGUUCAGCUGUUCGAUAUCGGCCGCUGGAUCGAACAUUAGAUACGUGCCGGAAACCAACACCCGGAAGGGUUGCUUGAGACCAUAGGACGCAAGGUUCCCGCGUAUAAGAACGUAUGGCAUCGAGAAUCGGUCUGCGGAGGUGCACGAAUGCCGUCGACGAUGCCGUCACCACCCGAGGCUCGUCAUCCUGUGCAGGAAUAGCUUCGAGAACCACUUGUUGUUCGAAACCCCUGGCCACA